UCCUUUUUCAGAGAAAUGGGCAGUUUUGAUCUUUCUACAUAUGCAACCCAUGGGCACAGUAGAUGGGGUGUUAAUGUAAGAAUCUAUCAAGUUUUUGCAGGUUUUAAGGAUGAGGCAACUUGCUUAUUCAUAGAGCCCAACUAUUAGCUCAACCCUAAACAGAAAUUCAGUAAAAGAACUUAGAAAGAAAAAGUUCACAAGUGGCUGAUGGCCCAAACAUCC
rnacentral:lncRNA from 1 species